rnacentral:rRNA from 1 species
UACGUAGGGACCAAGCGUUGUUCGGAUUUACUGGGCGUAAAGGGCGCGUAGGCGGCAAUUCAAGUCAGCUGUGAAAUCUCUGGGCUUAACCCAGAACGGCCAGCUGAUACUGCUUUGCUAGAGUGCAGAAGGGGCAAUCGGAAUUCUUGGUGUAGCGGUGAAAUGCGUAGAUAUCAAGAGGAACACCUGAGGUGAAGACGGGUUGCUGGGCUGAGCACUGACGCUGAGGCGCGAAAGCCCAGGGGAGCAAACGGG